rnacentral:rRNA from 1 species
GAUGAACGCUAGCGGGAGGCUUAACACAUGCAAGCCGAGGGGUAGAGUUAUUUCGGUAACUUGAGACCGGCGCACGGGUGCGUAACGCGUAUGCAACUUACCCUACUGAAAGGGAUAGCCCAGAGAAAUUUGGAUUAAUACCUUAUAAUAGAGAGUCUGGCAUCGGACUUUUUGAAAGAUUUAUCGCAGUAGGAUAGGCAUGCGUAAGAUUAGAUAGUUGGAGAGGUAACGGCUCACCAAGUCUACGAUCUUUAGGGGGCCUGAGAGGGUGAACCCCCACACUGGUACUGAGACACGGACCAGACUCCUACGGGAGGCAGCAGUGAGGAAUAUUGGACAAUGGGUGGAAGCCUGAUCCAGCCAUCCCGCGUGUAGGAUGACGGCCUUAUGGGCUGUAAACUACUUUUAUCUGGGGAUAAACCUACUUACGUGUAAGUAGCUGAAGGUACCAGAAGAAUAAGCCACGGCUAAACUACGUG